GGGCCGCUGCCCGUCGCUGGCAUUCUGAGGGAGGGCUCCGAGGAAGCCACGGUUUCUAAAUUCCAGACCUGGAUGUUCAGGUCUUUGUGAAGGUGAAAAAAGUUGCUGCGACAACAGUGAGUCAACUUCUAGAUGCUAGUGAAGAUGUUUUACAAGGAGCUGCUGCUGCUAAUAACGAUGAUAUCUUUGCAAUGUUGAUGGCCAUCCGUCUGAUCGACAGUCAUCUGUCAUCCGGUCAGUAAUGACAAGAGGAAGAUAGAAUAAUAUGGGAAGAAUAAAGGCCUUACAAGUGGCUGUGGCUAGAGCAACUCUUCAAAAGCAGCAAACACCACCUUGGAUCUAGCACAUUUUUCCUCUUAGCCUUCAAAUGCCCGAAGGAGCUCCCCUUAGUAUCCCCAGUGUUUCACAGGUACUGAGCUUUUAGUGGGUGCUCCACAGAUACUGUUGGUUGAAUGAAUGUGUGAAUUAUCUUCU